AGAGUUUGAUCAUGGCUCAGGACGAACGCUGGCGGCGUGCUUAACACAUGCAAGUCACGGGGGCUCGCAAGAGCAACCGGCGAACGGGUGCGUAACACGUGAGCAACCUGCCGAUCCGCGGGGGAUAGCCGGCCCAACGGCCGGGUAAUACCGCAUACGCUUGUCUGGGGGAGUCCCCGGACACGGAAACCUCCGGGGCGGAUCGAGGGGCUCGCGGCCUAUCAGCUAGUUGGCGAGGUCACGGCUCACCAAGGCGACGACGGGUAGCUGGUCUGAGAGGAUGGCCAGCCACAUUGGGACUGAGAAACGGCCCAGACUCCUACGGGAGGCAGCAGUGGGGAAUCUUGCGCAAUGGCCGAAAGGCUGACGCAGCGACGCCGCGUGUGGGAUGACGCAUUUCGGUGUGUAAACCACUGUUGCCCGGGACGAACAUCCUCUUUCGAGAGGACUGACGGUACCGGGUGAGGAAGCACCGGCUAACUCCGUGCCAGCAGCCGCGGUAAUUC
rnacentral:rRNA from 1 species